GUCGAAACGGUACGCGAGGCGCAUGCGUUCGUUACGUGUCUGGAACGCCGUAUGGUAGAGCUACCUGCACGCUACACGAGAACAGCUUCGGUGCCUGGACAGCCCACCGUGACGAAUAGGUGUCGUUCAGGACCGGCCGAAAGGUAGCUGUGUGCCGCACGGCUGGAGGGCGCGCGCUGGGGCCGCGCGCCCCUGCUCCGCGUAGGGGCGUGUGUGCGGUAUGCGCGCCCCUGCACCAGUCAGGAACGUUGUAAAGUAGACGCGUUUGCCCUCGUGACUCGAAACGAGGCAAGCGUUGUCGAUAGUCGUAGUAUAACGUUGGGCAGUACCGGACACUAGAGCGUCUGUAGCGGCGCAGUGAGACGCUAAACAACUAUCGAGUCGUGCGACGCGCGCCUGCCAGCGUCGGUAUGGGCGGUGUCGUUUGCGCUAGAGCGAGACCGUAGCGUCCACUGCGUAAUAUCCAGCCUUUUUGAUGCGGGCUCCAGUGGAGCCUUGGACGCAGAGACCGGUGCGCCCAUAAACCAGGGCGACGAUCAGCACUUGCUCUGCAGCGCGUGUACGGUCCAGUGCCAUGCCCUCGGACAACUGGAUACAAACGCAGUUUUGCAGUAUGGAGUGAGCUCUGUGCAACCCGGAGCGACACCCACUAGCACCUGCGGCAGCCUGAAGCAUAUCACAGAAGGAGUAUCGCGAGUGUUUUUCGUAAGAGCGUCAGUAGCGCCGAGCUGGUGACGCUCUCCAGCGACAUCGCUUGAACAGGACGCGCCUGGAGGUUGCUAUGGCUUGGGGAUCAGCAUGGGUUGCAACCGACAUUGGGAAGGUGCGGGUCGUUUUCCUUCCACAUGCAGCCAUGGAGAAGCGGUAACGGCGCAUUGCCUCCGCAAGCCAGCAGGGAUACUGUCGUUGUCAAGAACUUCAUACCCGCUCCGGAUUGUAGACCGAUGUUCAUCCCACAGCUCGCAUCCGGUUGUGCAGCGUGUUGGCCUGGAACAUCCGUCAAACCAACAUGAUGCGUAUUUCGCCUUUGACUGCGAAGCCACCGCCCCAGGAGAAACAUCGUCGCCGCUAACGCUCUGGGGCAGACGAUACAGAGGAUGCGGUAGAAACCGAUGUGGAUGAAACCGUCACCGCCACAGUGGCGAGGGUACGAGUCCCUGGUGAGGUACUCGGGUCUGCCUCCGUGUUGGUCUCGGCGCUUGCAAUGCCCAGUGGAUUGCCCACGCGAGACGUCUCGCCUCUCCAGGACGCGGUACGAAACGUUCUUGUCUUUUGUAUGAUCAAAUGCGGUGAAUCGCCAAUUUCAAUUGGCGCAGCAGGCAUUUCGAAGGGCCGCACAUCCUGCAAGGGGCCGAACAGCGCAUCGAGUUCCGCUUGCUCAGCUGAACGAUGGGCAGCUCUACGUUGGUGCGACCACCGACUCGCCUCUGGCAGCGCGCAAUGAUCGGAAGAUUCAGCAGCACCAGCGACACAUGUCCCCGAGAACAUUUCCCCGCCUCGUUGCUCCGACACAGAGGCCGGUACAUCCAGCUGCGAUGGUGCUUGCCGGUGCCAGUGGAAAGCGGGUCGCGCGGGCAUGUCUCUGGGCGCUUCCUCCAGGUAGUGCGCUUGGGCGUGCUGGCUUGUAGACGGCGCUCGACGUCUCAGGGAUUCUCGAGUUGGAGCCCAGCGCAAAUGCGGUUCCACUCGAUCCCACAGAUCAGGUCGUUUCGCAACCAGCACUGAUUGCUGCUCGGCAAUCUGGUGGCUCAACGGACGCCGCACGAUGCGGUCGUGGAAUUCCUCUGGAAUAUUUGCUCGGUUACACACAACGUCGUCGAGCAACUCGAUAACGUUAGACUGCACAGCCUGCAGGAAAGCAGAGCAGAAACAAGCUGCCUCGAAAAUGGUUCGAUGUCGACGAAUGACGUUGCGCACUGAAUGACUUGGUGGAUAGCGAUAGUGUUCUCGCACUUUGCGUUCGAUCGUCGCCCGCGAUAUUUCUCGUUGAGCGACUGCAGCCGCCGCAGCCGUGAUACAUGCUGCAGCGUCGUCGCUGUCGGAGCGCCAACGCCUGUGCAGGCAUUCGCCCGGUUCAUCCGUGACCGGGGCCGCGGCUCCAGGCGACGUCAAGCCAGAGUCAGGAAGCUUGGCUGCCUUCUGUUGUGACGCAGACGCCACCGUGGUCAUCGUGGCGGCUGCGUCUGCGUCUGCGACCUCUUGGCGAAAUACUGGUGACAGGCUUGGGGGCUUGGACUGAUUCCAGUUGUGACCGAAGAAGACGGAGGCUCCGUCGGGGCUCGUAACGAUCGCAGUGAGCUCACCGAGACAGGCUGGUCCACCCCGUGGUGCCGGCGACGACGCGAGCAGUCUGCGAGCAAGCGCAGCACCCUCUAACGUCAGCGGGAGCUUCUCAUUCGGUUUCAAAAGCCCGAACAAGACGCGGAAAUUUUCCAGGCGCUCCAGGACGCUUUCGCCAUAGCUCCCGCCAACAGGCCGGAACGUGAAGUGGAAUUUGCGCUGUCGUAGAGCGGAGAGAACGGUUUCGUCACGCUGCUGGCGCAUAUCCAAGUGCGUUGAGGUGGUCUCCAUCGCCGUGGUGCCGCUGGUACCACUGCUGGUGCCCUCUGCGUGCAUCAGUGUGCAUCCAGUCGACGAAGCGAGCUGCCAAGAGAGCUCCCGCGACGAGCUACGUCUCUCAACCGAUGGUGGUGACGUUGGCGUCCCUGACAGGGCAGAAGGUGGCGAGAACGCGCCGGCUGAGCGCCCACCAGGCCUAACGAGCUUGGGCACCUCUGCUUCGUCUUGUUUGCUGCUGUGGUACUGCGCUGUCUCAAGCUGCUGACUGCGGCUCUCUGGAACCCGCGCAGUCGUCCAGCUGACCGCUGCGCUCUGCGGGUCGGUUACGCUCUCCGAAAGCGUCCCCGUCGCCAUCGGCGUAUCGGUUACGCAGCUUUCCGCGGGUGAGUGCACAGCCACGGACGCAGACGGCAGCAGAGCGUCGGUUUCUCGUGCCGAACGCACUGCGGUCGACGUGGAAGCGACUCCUGCCGGCACCAGCCUCGCCAGCUGGUGCCCAGGGUUCUCGGCCGGCUGUGUCGCGCCCGCGAGCGGACGCUUGUCCUCGUCUAUUGGAAAAACGAACGCAGGUGCUUGCCGCAAGUCGCCCGAGUUCGAACCGGACAUGAAGCGGAACGCCUCCCUACUGCACCAGAAGCGCCCCCGUCGCCACCAGACUUGCUCCUCGCAACGCCGUUCACACCCAGACGAUACUUUCACCAAAACUAGUCAAUGAAAAAUCAAUUUUGGCACCACAGCGUUUCCUGCAACUUCUAGAACGAAAGUUUUCUCUGAAACCGCACGUGUACACGUGCGAUCGUGCGCUUGCAGAGAAAUCUCUGUUUGUCGUUGCAUUGGCCGGUGGCAUCGCACUGGGCGCAGCGCCAGCGGCGUAGAAACGUCCUCGCCAUCACCGGGCCUUGGGUUGUCGAUACGCUGCCGACGCCUGCGCCUCUGCUUGGGCGGCUGCACAACACGUGUAGGGUUCCCGAGGCGCGAUGCGUCACCACUGUAUAUAUCAGUAUACAAUGGUAUAGAAUAGAACAGCGACGUCAAUCUGGAUGAAAUGGUAUCAAGCGGACAGAGAGGCAUCGCGCGCGAGACGCUGCGGGGCGCGAGAUGCGUGCGCGCCUUUCUGAUUCUAGUAAAAACGGACU